AUGGUAAAAUUUUCCACCAAAACGUGACCUAAACAAUCUUCUCUCCCGUUCUGAGAAUCUCCUCGGCUUCGCAUGACUCUGUCGUGCCAGUGGCGGCGAAAUGAACCAACCCAAACGCUUCGCCACUCCAAUCGAACCUCCGCACUUUCUUUCUUCCAAUUCUCUCCUCCAUUUGUCCUAUAACCUUCUCGAAUCUCCCAAAUCGGAACCAUCCGUCUGAGAAACCUAUAUACCGAAUUUGGAAAUGAACAACGGUAACGCGAAAUCUGUCUUCUUCAGCAUGGUGUUAUAACUUCCUAUCGUUAGUGUUACCAGAUGAUGACAACUUUGAAGGCGAUUAACGAGAACAAGAUGAAGAUUAUACCUUCGGGGUAAAGACUGCCUCGGAAGCUGUUGCAAUGAAGAUGGGGCUAGAAAACUCAGAUACAUAUUACACUUGGGGGAUUGGAGUUGUAGCAGCGCUAAAUAAAAGUGAGGGAGAAUUGAAUCGUGCUUCCGGAGUGUGAAUCGUGGAUCCUUCUUCAACAACCUCUUUCUUCCUCGUUAUUGUUGAUGUGUUGCAGUUGUGGUGUUGAGAACGGAUUGAGAGUGAGGAUGUUGAUUUGAGGUUUUGAUGCGUGAUUCAAGAAGCUUUUGAUGCAGAAUGUAGAACAAAGAAGAUCCAGAAUGUAGAGUGUUGAAGAAAAAGGUGCAACAUCAUGAAUAAGUCCCUGGUUUCUGAGGCCUAUGAGGAUUUUGCAGCUGGAAGCGCCACCAAGCAAGCUAGUGGAGGGAGGAGGAAACACCACUUUAAUUUGUAAUUGAACACUAUGCAAUAAGGCUUUGAUUUGUAAUAGAGUUUUAGAAAAGGACUUUAAAUUGUAAAAGAAUUUUAAUUUGCAAUAGAACUUGGUUGGUAAUAAAAACUUAAUUUAUAAUGA